rnacentral:rRNA from 1 species
GACGAACGCUGGCGGCGUGCUUAACACAUGCAAGUCGAACGGAAAGGCCCUGCUUUUGUGGCGUGCUCGAGUGGCGAACGGGUGAGUAACACGUGAGUAACCUGCCCUUGACUUUGGGAUAACUUCAGGAAACUGGGGCUAAUACCGGAUAGGAGCUCCUGCUGCAUGGUGGGGGUUGGAAAGUUUCGGCGGUUGGGGAUGGACUCGCGGCUUAUCCGCUUGUUGGUGGGGUAGUGGAUUACCAAGGCUUUGACGGGUAGCCGGCCUGAGAGGGGGAACGGCCACAAGGGGACUGAGAUACGCACCAGACGGCUACGGGAGGCAGCAGUGGGGAACAUUGCAGAGUGGGGGGAAGUCAGAGGCAGCAACGCCGCGUGCGGGAUGAUGGCCUUCGGGUUGUAAACCGCUGUCGCCGGUGACGAAGCGUGAGUGACGGUAAUGGGUAAAGAAGCACCGGCUAACUACGUG